rnacentral:misc_RNA from 1 species
UGUGGGAGCGAGCUUGCUCGCGAUAGCGUAAUGGCAGUCAACGACGAUGCUGACUGUUCAAUUGUCAUCGCGAGCAAGCUCGCUCCCAUA